rnacentral:misc_RNA from 1 species
AAGAAAGAAAGAAAGAAAGAAAAAUAGGCAGCACGAGAAAAGAAGGUACUGACCAGAAGAUGUACAAUUAUGUUAGCUGUGUAAUCUUGGAAGAUUCUUAUUGCUGCUUAAUUCCACUUAUGGAUAUUUAUAGUCUUACCCUCUUUUCAGUCAGAUCUGGUUUUCCAGAUUUCCUAGCAUAACCUUGGACAACUGAAAUGUAAAGUCAAUCCCUUUUCAUUUUUGGUUGAUUAGUGAUGAUACACGCCAACACAGAUGGCUUCAGAAG